rnacentral:SRP_RNA from 1 species
CCGUGCUAGGUGGGGAGGUAGCGGUGCCCUGUACUCGCAAUCCGCUAUAGCGAGACUGAAUCCCUUGCCGAGGUGUUAUUGCUUUAAGGUCUGCCUUAAAGGAGCAGUGCCGACGUCCGGGUCCUGCGCAACAGGAGCUCGUGAACUAUGUCAGGUCCGGAAGGAAGCAGCAUUAAGCGAUCUCUCCUGUGUGCCGCAGGGAAGCCUGGGCUGAGCUGCAAUCUUAAGUAACGCUUAGGGCAAUAGCAUCGAAGCUUGGUGCACGG